rnacentral:rRNA from 1 species
GAUUGUCCCAGCCGCCGCGGUAAUACGUAGGGUGCGAGCGUUAAUCGGAAUUACUGGGCGUAAAGCGUGCGCAGGCGGUUUUGUAAGACAGGCGUGAAAUCCCCGGGCUCAACCUGGGAAUGGCGCUUGUGACUGCAAAGCUGGAGUGCGGCUAGAGGGGGAUGGAAUUCCGCGUGUAGCAGUGAAAUGCGUAGAUAUGCGGAGGAACACCGAUGGCGAAGGCAAUCCCCUGGGCCUGCACUGACGCUCAUGCACGAAAGCGUGGGGAGCAAACAGGAUUAGAUACCCUGGUAGUCCACGCCCUAAACGAUGUCAACUGGUUUGUUGGGUCUUUUGCUGACUCAGUAACGAAGCCUAACGCGUGAAGUUUGACCGCCUGGGGAGUACGGCCCGCAAGGUUGAAACUCAAAGGAAUUUGACGGGGACCCGCACAAGCGGGGGAUGAUGUGGUUUUAUUCGAUGCACCGCGAAAAAUCCUUACCCCACCUUUUGACCAUUGGCAAGGAAUUCUUAAAAAGAUAGGAGGAGUGC